GAUGAACGCUGGCGGCGUGCCUAAUACAUGCAAGUCGAGCGAACAGACGAGGAGCUUGCUCCUCUGACGUUAGCGGCGGACGGGUGAGUAACACGUGGAUAACCUACCUAUAAGACUGGGAUAACUUCGGGAAACCGGAGCUAAUACCGGAUAAUAUAUUGAACCGCAUGGUUCAAUAGUGAAAGACGGUUUUGCUGUCACUUAUAGAUGGAUCCGCGCCGCAUUAGCUAGUUGGUAAGGUAACGGCUUACCAAGGCAACGAUGCGUAGCCGACCUGAGAGGGUGAUCGGCCACACUGGAACUGAGACACGGUCCAGACUCCUACGGGAGGCAGCAGUAGGGAAUCUUCCGCAAUGGGCGAAAGCCUGACGGAGCAACGCCGCGUGAGUGAUGAAGGUCUUCGGAUCGUAAAACUCUGUUAUUAGGGAAGAACAAAUGUGUAAGUAACUAUGCACGUCUGGACGGUACCUAAUCAGAAAGCAACGGCGAACUACGU
rnacentral:rRNA from 1 species